AACGAACGCUGGCGGCAUGCCUAACACAUGCAAGUCGAACGAGAACUUCGGGUCUAGUGGCGCACGGGUGCGUAACGCGUGGGAACCUGCCCUUAGGGUCGGAAUAACUCCCCGAAAGGGGUGCUAAUACCGGAUAAUGUCUUCGGACCAAAGAUUUAUCGCCCUUGGAUGGGCCCUCGUUGGAUUAGCUGGUUGUUAGGGUAAAAGCCUACCAAGGCGACGAUCCCUAGCUGGUCUGAGAGGAUGCUCAGCCACACUGGGACUGAGACACGGCCCAGACUCCUACGGGAAGCAGCAGUGGGGAAUAUUGGACAAUGGGCGAAAGCCUGAUCCAGCAAUGCCGCGUGAGUGAUGAAGGCCUUAGGGUUGUAAAGCUCUUUUACCCGGGAUGAUAAUGACAGUACCGAGAGAAUAAGCUCCGGCUAACUCCGUG
rnacentral:rRNA from 1 species